ACUUCAGCGGUGCAUGUACUAAUUAAUAUUGGAGCAGUAUAGAGAAGAUUAGCACGGCCCCUUUGCAAUGAUGACAUGUAAGUCCACGAAGCAUUCUAUAUUUUA
rnacentral:snRNA from 1 species